rnacentral:rRNA from 1 species
CGCAUCUGUGCAUGCAGCAUAUCAAUAAGCGGAGGAAAAGAAACUAACAAGGAUUCCCCUAGUAACGGCGAGUGAAGCGGGAAGAGCUCAAAUUUGAAAUCUUAAAGGGUUUCCCUUUACGAAUUGUAGUUUAAAGAAGUGUUUUCUGUUGAGGUUUUGGUAAAAGUUCUUUGGAAUAGGACAUCAUAGAGGGUGAGAAUCCCGUAUUUGACCUUUACUUUCAACUUUGUGAUACACAUUCAAAGAGUCGGAUUGUUUGGGAAUGCAGUCCAAAAUGGGUGGUAAAUUUCAUCUAAAGCUAAAUAUUGGCGAGAGACCGAUAGCGAACAAGUACCGUGAGGGAAAGAUGAAAAGAACUUUGAAAAGAGAGUUAAACAGUACGUGAAAUUGUCAAAAGGGAAGCGUUUGACACCAGUGUUGUUUUUCUGAAAAUCAAUUAAAGAACUGUUUAUGCUAAGUUGUUUAGACUUUAUCAGCUAUCUGUUUAGUUUUGAGCUUUUCUUUAAUGCACUUUUCAGUUAACAAGUCAACAUCAAUUUCUUUUGCUGUAAAAAAGCUUGAGGAAGGUGGCUUGAGAUUCGUCUUAAGUGUUUAUAGCCUCUUGCCUAUGCAGUCGGAGAGAUUGAGGUCUGCAGCGUAGAUCCUUCGGGGCUAAAUGCAUUUGUGCUAAGUUAUAGCAUUUUAUAGACAACUUGUUGACUAUGAUUUGUCUUGUAGCUUACUCGCUUAUGUUAUUUUACCUACGCUUAGGAUGUUGAGUCGUAGAGCACGCAG